UUUUACAAUGGAGAGUUUGAUCCUGGCUCAGGAUGAACGCUAGCUACAGGCUUAACACAUGCAAGUCGAGGGGAAACGAUAUUGGAAGCUUGCUUCCGAUAGGCGUCGACCGGCGCACGGGUGAGUAACGCGUAUCCAACCUGCCCACCACUUGGGGAUAACCUUGCGAAAGUAAGACUAAUACCCAAUGAUAUCUCU
rnacentral:rRNA from 1 species